UACGAGGGAUGCAAGCGUUAUCCGGAAUUAUUGGGCGUAAAGCGUUCGUAGGUGGCUAAGUUAGUCUGUCGUUAAAGCGUGGAGCUUAACUCCAUAACGGCGAUGGAAACUGCUUGGCUAGAGUAUGGUAGGGGUAAGAGGGAUUCCCAGUGUAGCGGUGAAAUGCGUAGAUAUUGGGGAGAACACCAGCGGCGAAAGCGUCUUACUGGGCCAUUACUGACGCUGAGGGACGAAAGCUAGGGGAGCGAAAGGG
rnacentral:rRNA from 1 species